rnacentral:rRNA from 1 species
GAGAUACCUAGGGUGACUGGAGUUCAGACGUGUGCUCUUCCGAUCUCCGCAAUGGCCUUGACGGGUGACGGAGAACAAGGGUUUGAUUCCGGAGAGGGAGCCUGAGAAACGGCUACCACAGCCAAGGAUGGCAGCAGGCGUGCAAAUUGCCCAAUACCAAUUCUCAAGGUGAGGCAGCGACAAAGAAUGGCAACCUAUCCAGAGCGUUUGCUCAAAUAGGUUUUGCGAUGGGUGUUAUCCAAACCAAACAGCGAGUAUCGAUUCGUGGGCAAGUCUGGUGCCAGCAGCCGCGGUAAUUCCAGCAUGAAGAGUGUAUACCAACAUUGCUGCUGUUAAAAAGCUCGUAGUUGACUGCUGAGUGGGACGAUUGGUUACCGGGCCUGUCCUCACGCAUUGAUUGCUUCGGCUCUCCUUGCUCGUUCUCAGUGCCCCCGGUUGCUGUCUCCCCUCGCUGAACAUGGAAGUGAACUCCCUGCAAAAGCCCCCUUGACUUUGGAGGCUGAUGCUGCUAUCGCGCUUACCAUGCGUGUGCACAUGGGGUGUCCCUCACCCCCUGGGAGCGUCCAUGGCCGUCACCAUGAACAAAACAGCAUGCCCAAGGUGGCUGAUACGUCGGUGGAAUGUGCUAGCAUGGAAUGACAAGUGAUCAACCAGCGGACUGAGUGUUGUACUGGCCUUAUCCAUCCGCAUGGACAGCUACUGUGCUCCAGCACCGCGGUCUCUUACCCGGUGUCUGUCACAGCGUGUGGAAUCAAUGGAAGAGCUCAGGGUUGUGAGUAUUGACCAGCCAGAGGUGAAAUUCUUAGACCUGAUGGAGUCGGGCUGAAGCGAAGGCGUUUGGCAGCGUCAAGUUUGUCAAUCAAGAACGAGAGUGUGGGGAACAAAGAUGAUCAGAUACCGUUGUAGUCCACUGGCUGUAAACCAUGCCAGCUCGGUCCUGGUGUCGGAUUCUUGAAUGGCAACCACAUCAGGACCAUCUCCCCCUUUAUCGAGAAAUCCAAGCCUGUGGGUUCAGGGGGGAGUACCCUCGCAAGAGGGAAACUUAAAGGAAUUGACGGAAUGACACCACAAGGUGUGGAGUCUGCGGCUUAAUUUGACCCAACACGGGAAAUGUUACCGGGCCAGCACAAGGUGAGGAUGGACAGGCUGAGUGCCCUUUCUUGAUUCCUUGGACGGUGGUGCAUGGCCGCUUCUGGUUGGUGGAGUGAUUUGUCUGGCUGAUUCCGUUAACGAGCGAGAUCAAGGCUUCUCAUUGGUUGCUAGCCUCGUUGUGUAAGGUGAUCCUUCCUCCGUUCCCUGUG